UUUGUUGUGAAGAACGUUUGAUCGCGGCUGAAGUCCCGAGUAAUUUCGCGGCCUCUUUCUUUGGGCUAGGCUGUGGACGCGGAGCCAGAGUAUAGUACCGGAAGCAGCAACCUCCCGGCGUCCUUGUGGUGCUGUGCCGAUGGAUGCUCUGACAAUGGCGACUAUAAAGGCGCAGGUUGGGGCACCAUGGGAUCUACCUGGAACGAGUACCUUAACAACAGAGGCGCCUUGGCUGCUGCAGCGGACCGCUGGGGUGAGGCAACCCCACAGAAGGAGCAGCUCGCUUCUAUCUGCGGGGGCAUCGGCCACUGGGAGCGUGGCAGAUCAGCGAGAAGCACCACCGGCGGAACAUACGUCAAGUGCAACCAAGAAGGGCACAUGAGCCGGGAUUGUGCCACUGCUGACUAUGGAGGACGACGAGGAUGCCUCAGGUGUGGCGAGGAAGGCCACAUGAGUAGAGAUUGAAUGCAGACACGUGGGCUCGACACACUCAGAUGUGGGUCGCUAGGCUUGGCGUGCAGCCAGAUUACGUGUUUUGUGUGUGUUUUGUGCUAUAAUAGCUCUUUCAUUUUAGGGAAUUUUAAAAUUUGUACUUUUUUGACGAUGAUUUCGAUAAAUAUGCUCUUAUACCUUCCA